rnacentral:misc_RNA from 1 species
GAUGAAGAACGCAGCGAAAUGCGAUAGGUAAUGUGAAUUGCAGAAUUCAGUGAAUCAUCGAAUCUUUGAACGCACAUUGCGCCCUUUGGUAUUCCUUAGGGCAUGCCUGUUCGAGCGUCACUACACACCUUAUCACAAUAUUUGUGGUCUUGGCAGGAGUGGAUUGCUGGUCUAUGGAAGUAUUCCAGCAGUACACAAUGCUAAAAAAUAUGGGAAGGUUACCAGAUAUGAACAACAGACUUUGUAAAUGGUUGUAGGACCUAGAUCAGUCACAAGUCAUGUCUGGUCCCUUACCUUAAGGACCCCCAUCCUAGAUGAACUAUGGGUUGACCUCGGAUCAGGUAGGAAUACCCGCUGAACUUAAGCAUAUCAAUAAGCGGAGGA